CUCAGCGGACAAGUGAAGGGCGGAGCUGGGCGGAGCUGUGGCAGAAGAGGCGGCACGACGGAGCAGAAGGGGAGCCGCAACGGAGCAGGAGAAGAUGGCCGAGAAGAUGUUCAGGCGCGGCACGGCGGGCAAAGAAUAGUUUUGGUGAUGAGCUUGUGGCUACGCUGGACCAGCUGUUGCAGCCCCCCUGCGUCGUCACAGUGGGUCGCUUGCGUUCUGCUGCUCCGGUGCCGGCACCUGUCCCUGUGCCGCUAUGCGGUGCCGUGCUCAGGAAUUUGGCGAAGAAGGCGGCUGCCGUGCUUGCGCGCGAGAAGGGCGCUAGACCUUGUUGGCGCUGCGAAGGAGGCACAGCUCAGGUUGGGUACGCCGUCGGCCAGGCCGGCGGCGAGCACGCUCCGCUAUGACCUGUCCGCCAUAGCCAGUCCUCUCCCGCCUCCCCCGACUCCGUGUCCUUGUCCAACGCAAAUCAUUGGAGCUGUCAGCCCGGAUUGUUGUUGGCUUCUAUAAGAAGGGAUGGUCCUCGGCUCGAAUCUCCAUCAGGUCAAUUUUGGACGAAGCAUCCAAUGUCGACACCGAGUUCGCCACAGGAAGAAGCGCCGAGUUCGCCGGACGUAGAAGAAGCGCCGAGUUCGCCGAAGGUAGAAGAACAGCCGUCGAGCUGUCCAAUGUCGCCUGCUUCGGCUACAGCAGAGAUGUACACCCAUGUUGUGUGGUUGGUCUGUUGAACGAAGCACUGGAACUGUAAGCAAUUCCUUCAGAUAGUGUUGUUCUCUGAACAGAGAAAACAAAAUUGGAACAGCUGCUGCGGUGCUUCUCAUCUGGCCUUAGUUCCAGGUGCCUUGCAUGAUGGUUGGUCUACAUUGAUGGAGAUGACUAUUUGAUCAGGGUGUUGUGCUGAGGAAACCAACAAGACAUGGAAAACGCUUAUAAUCACCUGACAGAUUACAGCUCCUGCGUCCGCCACUUUCCUUGCACUCAUGGGAUGGGGUUGCAUUUUAGUUUUGAUCAUAUAUGAACUUACAAGUUACAACCGUAAAGGUUGAACAACAUCGGUUCUUUUUUGAUGGAUUGAACAACAUCAACAGGAAGUUUCUUGCUCAGUUUCUUUUGUUUGGGAUGAUACAGAUGAGAUAGCCCAUCAGUUGCUCACAGAAGGAAACAACCACAAUGAGAAUCCUCUUAUA